rnacentral:pre_miRNA from 1 species
UUGUAACACGAACCGGUGCUAAAGGGUCUCUGCCCCGACAGCACCUGUCAGUAACCGUUGGGCAGGACCCUUUAGCACCGGUUCGUGUUACAAA